ACUGAACUCAGAACCUCAGGAAGAGCAGCCAGUGCUUUUAACCGCUGAGCCACCUCUCCAGCCCAGCACUGUGUUUUCAAAUUCUACUGCUGUCCUCCAUUGUGAUCUUCUUGUCUAAAAAUCUAUCUCAGUGAAUUUGCAAUUAACUUAGCACAGACCACGGGCCUCACCUGCUCCACCCAAGAUCUUUAAGUCAAAGUCCAUAUAUCGUUUUGCUUUGUUUUUAAUCUCACACUAGAAAUGAUGUAAUAAAACACAAUAAAUGUUUACGGAAUAAAGUAGGGGGUGAUUUAUAAUUUUCAAAACCUCUUUGAACUGUUUCCUGUUUCCAGAAGGAAAAAGACAAAUUGAGUAAAAGAGAAAAUGAGCCAAGAGCUUAACUAAGCGUGUCUGUACUAACUAGUCCCACUGAUAUUGAGAAUAUAAUGGAUUUUGCCCAAGAAGGAAGUGUGUGACCAUAAAACUCACAGUGUGGUUGUGGUGGCAGGGUUAUAAAGCAUAGACUCACAGUGUUGAUAUCCCAAGGUUUCAAAAAAAAUCACAGUAGAAUGAUUUUUGAUACGAAGAAGAUGUCAAACCCUAAAACCAAGAGAUGGCAUUGGUGCAUUCUUUCCAAGGCAAGAGCACGCAAAAUUCUGUUCCUAUGGGUUAAUUAAUAAUGUUCAAGACGGACUGAUUCGGCAAGCUGUGUAUUGCCAUGGAUCCCCUGGAAGUGCAGAAAUCAUUCCGUAUAUAACUAACCUCGCUGGAAUUGUCUGACUGUUCGAGCUCACAGUGGAGACGUUCACCUUUCCCCAGCAAAGUCAAGCAGGCGGAAAAGUUAAAAUUGAGUGGAUAAUGAUUUUUUCUUGGACUAUGGACCAUCCAGGCCUGAGCAGUCUGUGAAAUAGCAUGCAAAAGGGUAUUUCUGGGCAGAUCUAUGGAUUUAUAGUGAGCAGCCUUAUCAUCCCAAGAGAGAUUCCAUGCAUUUUCUUUACUGCCAGCUCCAGAUUCUUGCUUAAUAACCAUACAACAGUGAAAAGCUGGUCCCUCAUUAGGCUCAUGACUUACUUAUUUAAAUGGUAAAAGAAUGUAAUAUGAGUAAAAUCAGAAGAAAAUAGACUGUAUAGCCAUGGCAUAGUAUAUAUUUAUGUAUAGAUGUAUGUGUGCAUAAAAAUAUAAUAUCUAUAUCUCUCAUUGUGUGUAUGCAUCUUCCUCUCAUUACAUACUUUUCUAUGAUAAAAAUGGUCUCCUUUUCUCCAAAUUUAAGACUGCCCCUAUGUCCAAUUCUCAUAUUCAUAACAACACCUCCAGCUUAUGUUUAUGUAGACUUUACAAAUUAAAACUCCUAUGUCCUGAUGGCCUGGUGAGAGAGGGCAAGGAUUUUGCUUCAUACAUGGAAAACUGAGGUUCAAAUACAUGACAUGUUUUUCUAAGAUCAUACUUGAGUGAUUAAUUGUACAUAUUUUCGGAAUGAAGUUUCCGGUUCCAGGCAGGUCAAACCAGGAGGGACCUCUGUGCUCAUAAGAUGAUGAGUCCCAGUUUCCUGCUAGAAAGGACAGUGAUGCUUUCUACACCAACCUUUCAUUUUCCAGGGAGGAGGAGACUCUUAGUGAGUCUCCAGAAGUCCCGUAGGAGGUCAGGCUAGUACGUGGGAGAGAGGGUGGCACUGAAAAUAUACAGAGAGAAAUGGCUUCUUCCACAACCGUGUUGAUGGGUCCUUCCUGGGGCUGGAAACUCCCCAAAGGCAUCAGUGAUGAGAGUUGCUUAGCUGUUCUGUUGUUAGGGUUGUAACCAUUAUGAGUUUCUUAUUUUUCAAUUACCAUGCAGAAAAGUGAGCUUCUGAUAGGAGUGUAUAUUCUGGUGAAUUUUUUUAACAUGUGCACAGAUACAUUUGACCAUCACCAUACUCGAGGAAGACAAGUGUUGGCAUCAAAGAGCCGUGCCCCACCCCACUCCUCAUCUGUACCAUGCAGUAUCUAGAAAUGUGAGGAGAGUCCUCCAGCCACCAUGAAUAUCUACACUUCAUCCUAUUGUGUGAGUGUGUUACAGUUUGAUUCACUAGUCACCUACUGAAAAUCAUUAGCUUAUUUCCAGGAUGUUUUUGCAAUUAUGGAAAGAUUUUUUGUAAAUAUGUCUAUUGUUUUUCUGUUUGGGGUUUGUUUUUGUUUUGGUUUUGGUUUUGGUAUGAGUGUAAAUGUUUGUUCCUCUGGGAGAAAUCCCAAAAGAUGUACUGGAUCCUAUGUUACAUUCAUUUCUUAUUUCUGUCAUUGCAAAUCAUCACAAACAUAGUGAGUUAGACAGUCCAGAUUUAUUAUCUUACCGUAAUGCAGGUCAGAAAACAGCACUGGGCUAAGUCCAAAGUAUCAGCAGGGCUGUGUUCCUUUCAGAAGGAUUUUGGAGAGAAUCUGUUCAGGUUAUUGGCAGACUUUAGUUCCCCGUGGAUGCAGAACUUGGCCGAUGGCCCCUCUCCUUUACCUUCACAGCUAGUGAUGGCCAAUCACGUUGGCCUCACAUCAUCUCACUCCCUCUACAUCUUCAUCUUCUCUGACCUUGCCUCCACCACCCUCUCACUGCUUACCUAGCCAGGCCAUGAUAAUGCAGCCUAGUCUCACUGUCUCCAAGCCCACACCUUAGACACAUCUACCCAGUUCCUGGGGCUUUUGUGUAUCAUAUUCUUAACAUCUAGAGAUUGUAGGUGAGUACUCUGUCCACCUAGCCUUUCAAGAAACCUCUAAGUUGUUUUGCUUUGUUUUGCUUUGUUUUGUUUUGUUGUUUCUUUUUGGAAUGUCUGUGACAUUUUCCAUUUUCACUGGAAGCAUCCCCAAGUUCCAGUUGCCCUGUGCACUUGUGAUCACUUGGCAUUGCCAGUACUUUUUAGCUUAUCGGUUCCCAUAGGUCCACACUGGUAGUUCCUGUGGUGUAAGCUUACGUUACCCUUGUGUCUCAAGGUGUUGAGCAACAUUUUAUCAGCUUAUCUUCUAUCUUCCCAUACUGUCUAUAAGAUGACUGUUCAAAUCUCCUGCCCAUUCUGCUCAUUGGGUUGCUCCUUCUUUCAGUUUUGAGUUCUAGGCCUUUCAUUCUAAAUAUAGAUCCUUUGUCAGUUAGGUCAGAAGAAUAUUCCUUAAUCCGAUCCCAAGUUUCCCAUCGUACCUGCAUUCUAGUUAAGCACAUCUAAUUUCCCUGGAUUGGGCUCGCUCUUCAUCAGAGAGUCACUGGACUAGGAUUUCUCCAUCAGAAUGUGUCAGAUCUGAAGAUGGCUGGGCCUGCUCUUUGUCAUAGCUAAGCUCAGACAUACCCAAGUACAAUUUGGUCCAUCCCUAUAGUCCUCUUUGAGAACAUAACUUUCACUCACUAUUUUAUAGAUGGAGUUUGAAGACCACAGGAUACUGAAGAGAAACACAGGGGUAGCUGAGAAGACUGGGAGGCUCCUGAGGACCAAAAUGGUAGAGGAGAGAGCCACCUUCUGCAAGCUGUCCUUCUCUGACCUCCACACAUGCACUGUGAAGCACAGACUCCAGCUCCAGGGAUCUGAUGUCAUCAUCUGGCCUCUGUAGACACCUGCACUUAUGUAGACAUAACAGAGAUCGAGCGAGCGAGAGAUUAUUAAAAAUAAUAAAAGUACAUCUUUAAAGAGAAAUACUAAUGGUAAGACAGAUGACAUCUGCGAUUUCCAUACCGAUGUCUAAUUCCAACACAGUUAGAUCCUGUGAUUAUAUCAACAGGGAUGUGGCAUCUGCCAAUGAACCACUAGGCCAAUCAAGUGAUAAAUCAAACAAAGGACAGUUGUGAAAUCACUGAGAAGUGAUUGCAAAGCAUGAAGAGAGAUUAUCCAUCCUGCUGAGUUACAUAGGUGUAGAGACCACACAUGAGAGUGAUAGGCUGUGAUUCCUGAGAUCUAAGGAGAGCGGCUCAUAACACAAAUGCAACAACUUAGCAGGGAGUGGAUAUUUUAUCGCAAGCUCUCUGGAAAGUCUCGUCUAUGUAUAAUAUAACAGCAAUCUGGGGACUCUCUUGAGAUUGACUUUCAAAUAUCUAAAGUUGACAGAAGCCAUCCCAGAGAACUUGGGAAUCAUAAUUUUACAUGCACCAAAAUCCUAGCAGGAAAUAGAAUCCACCACAGAUGGUCAGGAUGAAGAUACAUCUCAUAGGUAGGUUGAUGAUGGUUCCGAGAACCAGAUAUGGUGAUGUGCCCUCCUAAACUGUUCAUAGAAGAAGGUAGAAAGCCAUUUCUGCUUGCAGGACUGGAGGAUAUGGAUACAUAAGUCACCGGAAGCCACUGAAAACUGGGCUGUAGAGAAGAAGACGUCCUGCCAGACUUGUAGUGGUACAAAGAUUGAACUGCAAUCAGAAGAUGACAUCAAAGUAAGGGGCCAACAGAGGGACAUCCUGACUCUCUUUCUUUUCCUUCCUGUCUUCUUUGGAUGUUUCCCAAAAACACACAGCAGGAAAUCUCAGGUGUUCUGCUUCAUUCCAAGGCACAGUGUUGAUCCUCAGUGGGACUGAAGGUGUGGAACAGAAUGUCAAAAGAAGUCAAAAAAACUUCAAAAUUGGCCCAAAAUAAAAAGAGCAUAUUCGUCAAAUCAAAAGAAACCACAAAAGACACCGAUUCAAGUGAAUCUUAGGCUCUGUGAAGCACAGGAAGAAGACACUGAUGUCAGGAAUUGCCUUAUGCAGAUAAAGUGCUUUGAAAUUUUGUUCCAGACCUUGAGUGAAGUUUCUGUCUGCCUCUGGAGUAUAUUGCUCUCACCGAUGAAUAGGACGCUAUGAACUUGCCCUUUAAUUGGCUGGUCAAAAAAGUAGGCAGCACAUUCACUCAUGGAGUGGAUGACGUACAGAGAGGGACUCCAGACAAGCAUGCAUAGGCAGAAACCUUGCCGAGCAGAAGAUGCUGCCUUAAGUUAGAGGUCAGGCUCAGGAAGGAGUCAAAGAGCCCAUUGUGCUGCUGAGAAUUACCCACAGCCAAAUGCAUGCUGAGCCUUGCUUCCUGCACGGCGGAUACUGCUUACAGUCCCGUGAUUUUAAAAAAUAACUCUUUCUUCGUACAUCAGAGAUUACCACAAGUCACAGACCUUGUGAGCCAACCCGAACCUGGCUGGUGUCAGAGACUGACCAUCUAUUAUCCAAGAGCUGUCUCCUCCUCCUCCCAGGAAGGAUUUAGGAACUGCAGGCUGUACCAUUGACAAAGCUUCCCCCCAAGAUGAUGAAGCUGUAAUGCAAAUACAUGAGAUUCCCGCCAGAGGAACCUGAAGGAGGGCGAUGAAGUAUCAGAAGAGGACAGGACAAGGGAAGCAACUCACAGCCCUCCAGAACUGUCAAUCAAGGAUUUAGAGGGAUUUAGAAAGACAGUUUUAAAGGGAGCAUCAACCUUUCCUAUCAUGUUUAUAGCAGCCAAACAUAAGAUUUAAAGAUGCUGGCUUUCACAGAAUGACCCAGAAAGAUUAAAUCAGAGCCAACCUCAGAAUUAAGUGUGCCAGAUGCUGCACUGAGCCCUACAAUCAUCUUGUUUAAUCUCUCUGACGUCUGUGAUGGGUACGGUUAUCAUCUCUCCAUGACAGGUGGGGAAACUGAGGCUUUGGCCUUAUGCAACUCUAGGACCAAGCAGAGGGGUGUUGAAUCCACUAUUAGGUGUUACCUCUGAAAUGAAGAAAUGGUAGGUACCAUGAGUGUCCAGUAAAUAUUAAUUAAAGAUCUCUCAUGUUGAUCAGGCCAAAUAAAAGCAUGAUUGGAUUAA